rnacentral:rRNA from 1 species
GACGAACGCUGGCGGCGUGCUUAACACAUGCAAGUCGAACGGAAAGGCCCUGCUUUUGUGGGGUGCUCGAGUGGCGAACGGGUGAGUAACACGUGAGUAACCUGCCCUUGACUUUGGGAUAACUUCAGGAAACUGGGGCUAAUACCGGAUAGGAGCUCCUGCUGCAUGGUGGGGGUUGGAAAGUUUCGGCGGUUGGGGAUGGACUCGCGGCUUAUCAGCUUGUUGGUGGGGUAGUGGCUUACCAAGGCUUGGACGGGUAGCCGGCCUGAGAGGGUGACCGGCCACAUUGGGACUGAGAUACGGCCCAGACUCCUACGGUAGGCAGCAGUGGGGAAUAUUGCACAAUGGGCGGAAGCCUGAUGCAGCAACGCCGCGUGCGGGAUGACGGCCUUCGGGUUGUAAACCGCUUUCGCCUGUGACGAAGCGUGAGUGACGGUAAUGGGUAAAGAAGCACCGGCUAACUACGUG